GAUGAACGCUAGCUACAGGCUUAACACAUGCAAGUCGAGGGGCAGCAUGGUCUUAGCUUGCUAAGGCCGAUGGCGACCGGCGCACGGGUGAGUAACACGUAUCCAACCUGCCGUCUACUCUUGGACAGCCUUCUGAAAGGAAGAUUAAUACAAGAUGGCAUCAUGAGUCCGCAUGUUCACAUGAUUAAAGGUAUUCCGGUAGACGAUGGGGAUGCGUUCCAUUAGAUAGUAGGCGGGGUAACGGCCCACCUAGUCUUCGAUGGAUAGGGGUUCUGAGAGGAAGGUCCCCCACAUUGGAACUGAGACACGGUCCAAACUCCUACGGGAGGCAGCAGUGAGGAAUAUUGGUCAAUGGGCGAGAGCCUGAACCAGCCAAGUAGCGUGAAGGAUGACUGCCCUAUGGGUUGUAAACUUCUUUUAUAAAGGAAUAAAGUCGGGUAUGGAUACCCGUUUGCAUGUACUUUAUGAAUAAGGAUCGGCUAACUCCGUGCCAGCAGCCGCGGUAAUACGGAGGAUCCGAGCGUUAUCCGGAUUUAUUGGGUUUAAAGGGAGCGUAGAUGGAUGUUUAAGUCAGUUGUGAAAGUUUGCGGCUCAACCGUAAAAUUGCAGUUGAUACUGGAUAUCUUGAGUGCAGUUGAGGCAGGCGGAAUUCGUGGUGUAGCGGUGAAAUGCUUAGAUAUCACGAAGAACUCCGAUUGCGAAGGCAGCCUGCUAAGCUGCAACUGACAUUGAGGCUCGAAAGUGUGGGUAUCAAACAGGAUUAGAUACCUUGGUAGUCCACACGGUAAACGAUGAAUACUCGCUGUUUGCGAUAUACUGCAAGCGGCCAAGCGAAAGCGUUAAGUAUUCCACCUGGGGAGUACGCCGGCAACGGUGAAACUCAAAGGAAUUGACGGGGGCCCGCACAAGCGGAGGAACAUGUGGUUUAAUUCGAUGAUACGCGAGGAACCUUACCCGGGCUUAAAUUGCAGAUGAAUUACGGUGAAAGCCGUAAGCCGCAAGGCAUCUGUGAAGGUGCUGCAUGGUUGUCGUCAGCUCGUGCCGUGAGGUGUCGGCUUAAGUGCCAUAACGAGCGCAACCCUUGUUGUCAGUUACUAACAGGUUCCGCUGAGGACUCUGACAAGACUGCCAUCGUAAGAUGUGAGGAAGGUGGGGAUGACGUCAAAUCAGCACGGCCCUUACGUCCGGGGCUACACACGUGUUACAAUGGGGGGUACAGAGGGCCGCUACCACGCGAGUGGAUGCCAAUCCCCAAAACCUCUCUCAGUUCGGACUGGAGUCUGCAACCCGACUCCACGAAGCUGGAUUCGCUAGUAAUCGCGCAUCAGCCACGGCGCGGUGAAUACGUUCCCGGGCCU
rnacentral:rRNA from 1 species